rnacentral:lncRNA from 1 species
CAUCCUAUGAAUAGCCUCUCUGACCUCCUCAACCUUAAAACGUCUACAGUAACUGAAAUCACAGCUCUUCUCUGAGUGCUCCAGCUCUCCUAACUCAAUGUCUCUGUCCCCUUCCUCAUUCAAAAAUCUAUGAAAAUAUUCCUUCCAUUUCUUCUUAAUGUGAAAAUCCUCCAUUAAAACUCUACCAUCCUCCCCUUAAUG